rnacentral:rRNA from 1 species
CUUCCUACGGGGCGCAGCAGUGAGGAAUAUUGGUCAAUGGACGCAAGUCUGAACCAGCCAUGCCGCGUGCAGGAUGACGGCUCUAUGAGUUGUAAACUGCUUUUGUACGAGGGUAAACCCCGAUACGUGUAUCGGGUUGAAAGUAUCGUACGAAUAAGGAUCGGCUAACUCCGUGCCAGCAGCCGCGGUAAUACGGAGGAUGCGAGCGUUAUCCGGAUUUAUUGGGUUUAAAGGGUGCGCAGGCGGAGGCACAAGUCAGCGGUAAAAUCGCGGGGCUCAACCCCGCUCCGCCGUUGAAACUGUGU